GGACCCUCCUCCUAACUGCCUGGAACUCAGUCUUCUUCUGGUUCCCUUUGGAACAAGAUGUGGAACUCUCAGCUGUGUCUCCAGUGCCACGCCCGCCUGGAUGCUGCCACAUUUCCCGCCUUGAUGAUAAUGGACUGAGCCUCUGAGCCUGCAGACAGAGUCAGAGCCAGACUGGGUUAGAUAGAGGACGCCCACGGAGAGCCUGCUGCAGAAAUGAUGGCUUGCCUACUGGUGGGAAGACAUGACUGAAAUAUCUGAGGUCACAGAAGGGAUCUGCGUGGGAAGUGUACGAUAAGAGAAAUGGAGGCUGACUUCAGGUUGGUUUCCUUUCAUAAUGCCUCCCUCGGCGGGCCCAGCCAUUUCCUCUCCUCUCCGCCUGACAUGUAGAAUCUUGGAUUGACCAGAAGAUUUAUGUGUGUAUCCCUUGUACACAUGCCCACAGGAAGGUGCGAGUGGAAAAGUGUGUUCCAGGUGUUUCGCCGGCAAACCCAGCUGCAUCCUAGCAGCUGCCCAGCCAACAGCAGUUCCAAGAGCUUGUUUCACAUGUUGGUGAUGAACCCAGGGGCUCACACUUCCCUUGCGGCGUGCCCCCAGUCCCCUGAGUCCAUUUUGAUGUUAGCAUCCAUCCCCCACCCGGGUCAAUGAACAGGCGGAUUCCAGCUGGGCUUCUUCACAAAGGUCUAUAAUCCCAGAUACUCCAGAAGACAGCAAAUUCAAGACCUCCCUGGGCUACAAGAUGAGUUCAAGGUCAGCCUGAGAGACUUGCUGAGGGCUUGUCUUAAGAGAGCUGUCCCCUCAAGAGAUAUGUCCCUCAUAUACUCAGUGGUGGUGAAACAUUUUGCCCUAAAGAGAAACAGGGCAAUCCCAAGGUGUGUGUGUGUGUGUGUGUGUGUGUCUUAACUUUGUGAGCAUAUUUUUGUCUUUUCUGAUCCGCAGGCAGCUGCUCUGCUGAGAACUUUGUUUAUCCCCCUGGUUUUCUCCACUGGUUACUAAAUAUACACUUCAUGCAACACACUGUUUUGCCUCUGUUUAAAGCUGUUCCAGAAAUGGAAUGCUAUCAUAUAUGUUCUUUCAUAUCCUUUAAAGUUUUAUUUCAACAGCUUUAUUGGGACACCACUCACCCACCAUACAAUUCAUACAAUUGUCUCAUUUGAAAUGUACAUUUUUUUGUUUUUGUUUUUGUUUUUGAGACAGGGUUUCUCUGUAUAGCUCUGGCUGUCCUGGAACUCACUCUGUAGACCAGGCUGGCCUCGAACUAAAAAAUCCACCUGCCUCUGCCUCUGCCUCCCAAGUGCUGGGAUUAAAGGCAUGCACCACCACUGCCUGGCUUCAAAGGUUUAUUUUAUUGGUACUUAGUACACUCACAUAUUUGUACUUCCACAACUAGACAUGGUAGCACACACCUGUAGACACAGGACACAGGAAGCUAAGGAAGGGGGAUUGGGAGCGCUCUGUGAGUACAGGCUAUAUUAGAACAGUAAAGGAAGGAAGAAGGAAGAGAGGGAGGAAAGGAAGGAAGGAAAGGAAGGAAGGUGUAUUAGUCAGGAUUCUCUAGAGUCACAGAACAUAUGAGCAGUCUCUAUAUAGUUAGGGAAUUUGUUGAUGACUUACAGUCUGUAGUCCAACUCCCUAACAAUGGUCAGCAGCAGCUGUAGAUGAAUUCAUAGCCACUAUGCUUCAAGAUCUCCAUGCCAAGGUCCAGGCCAGAAACUUGUAUCUUUGAGCCUCCAGAUUAGGAUCAUAGGUGAGCCUUCCAAUUCCUGAUUGUAGUUCA